rnacentral:rRNA from 1 species
CGGUGUGUGAAGAAGGCCUUUGGUUUUAAAGCACUUUAAGCGAGGAGGAGGCUACCUGCAUUAAUACUCUGGGAUAGUGGACGUUACUCGCAGAAUAAGCACCGGCUAACUCUGUGCCAGCAGCCGCGGUAAUACAGAGGGUGCGAGCGUUAAUCGGAUUUACUGGGCGUAAAGCGUGCGUAGGCGGCUUUAAAAGUCGGAUGUGAAAUCCCCGAGCUUAACUUGGGAAUUGCAUUCGAUACUGGGAAGCUAGAGUAUGGGAGAGGAUGGUAGAAUUCCAGGUGUAGCGGUGAAAUGCGUAGAGAUCUGGAGGAAUACCGAUGGCGAAGGCAGUCAUCUGGCCUAAUACUGACGCUGAGGUACGAAAGCAUGGGGAGCAAACAGGAUUAUAUACCCUGGUAGUCCAUGCCGUAAACGAUGUCUACUAGCCGUUGGGGCCUUUGAGGCUUUAAUGGCGCAGCUAACGCGAUAAGUAGACCGCCUGGGGAGUACGGUCGCAAGACUAAAACUCUAAUGAAUUGACGGUGGCCCGCACAAGCGGUGGAGCAUGUGGUUUAGUUUCGAUGCAACGCGAAGAAGCU